rnacentral:misc_RNA from 1 species
GAUGAAGAACGUAGCGAAAUGCGAUAAGUAGUGUGAAUUGCAGAAUUCAGAGAAUCAUCGAAUCUUUGAACGCACAUUGCGCCCGCCAGUAUUCUGGCGGGCAUGCCUGUUCGAGCGUCAUUUCAACCAUCAAGCCCCCGGCUUGUGUUGGGGACCUGCGGCUGCCGCAGGCCCUGAAAACCAGUGGCGGGCUCGCUGUCACACCGAGCGUAGUAGAUUUUCAUCUCGCUCAGGGCGUGCUGCGGGUUCCGGCCGUAAAAAGCCUUAUUUACCCAAGGUUGACCUCGGAUCAGGUAGGAAGACCCGCUGAACUUAAGCAUAUCAAUAAGCGGAGGA